rnacentral:lncRNA from 1 species
UCAUGCCAAUGCACAUGAUGUCAUGUCAAGUUUUAGUUCUAGUAACACCAGGGUGCAGACCACCGGAGCCCCCUCCUCUUCCUUGUGCAUGGUGACUUCCUCUCCCUCUCCAAGCUGUCGCCGCCCACCGCCUUAGUUCGCGGACAACGGCCUCAUCUUCCUCGUGUAGACCACCAGAGCCCCCUCCUCUUCCUCGUGCAGAGCACUGGAUCCCCAUCUUCCUCACGCAGAGCACGAACAUAGGAGAUUUGCAAAGCCUCAUCAAGACGGCAAGAGAUCUACAAAGUCCAAAUCAGUGUGAGUGGAUCUCUUUCACCCGUGGUGUCAAAAAAGUUGAAAUUGACUAUGUUUUCGUUCUUUCCUUGCUGAUUCAUUAGGUUUUCCUCUCUGACUCUCCCAUGGCGUCAAAAAAGUUCAUUUGUUUGCUUGUUUCUUGCAGAACCAUCUGCUGAAGGUGAUACAAUGUAACAUGUGCAAGCAUAAGAAGUUUUUUCAGAAGAUCAAAGGUACUUCUCUCUCUCGUGCACACACAGCCCCAACACGCUGGACACAUUGGAUACUCAGUGAUCUAUAUAUUUAAUCAAGUAUACUCUUGGAGUUUUGAUAUUCAUUUGUUCAAGUAUGCUUCUGGAGUUGUGAUUAGCUCAUGCUAUACUCUUGCAAUUUACAAAAUGAAUGUGGAGUUUUACAAACUGAAUUACAAAUUGAAUUAUCUGCAGAUGUAUAGAUAUUUUUUGAACAUAAUGGCAGGAGCUCUACCUCUCAAUUAAGAAGAAAGGAAUUUACCUAGUUUUAAGGGAAACCGGGCCCAAAACCUAUACAGGACGCACAAAUAACCGACAACAGCAACCCCACACACACAAUGCCCAUCCUGAGUCAUCGUUGUUGAGCUCAACACAAGUGACGAGCAGCUCCGACUCCUAAGAUGGGCAGCACAAGGCCAAAGGAAACACAACGACGAUUACAAACACCGGCACAGGAGAAGGAAGACUGCGGAGCGUCAUCGUUGCCAAGCCACGAGACACCCCACUCGAAACAACUCCGAUUCUUCACCAACGAGACUUCCAAAACCUUGAUCCACCACCCCGCCUCCGCCAAAUGCGUCAUCUUCGAAUCAGACUAGCCCAUGGAGGAGGGGUUCGCCCCACUCAUCGUUGCCGAGCCACAUCCCUGACGUAGCAGCUUCGACUUCAUUAUGCAAGCUCCCACCUCCACACGCAAACCAGGACCCAAAAGGCGAAAGCAACCACCAAAAGAUGUAUAAAUAAAGAUAAUAUUAGAAACCAAAAUUCUAGAUUAAUUCUAGUACUUGUAUUAGCUUUGGUAAUGCUGUAUAAAGUACUAGUACCUGUCAAGUUUGAAAGACCACUAAUCGCAAAACCAAGAAAACAAAUGGAUUUUUUCUACUAAUGCUCGUGGCUGGGUAGUUUAGUUUGGUCCUCAUGUGAUCAUGAUGCCUCAUAAUCCUCUCGCAGUAUGGGGAACAUUUUUCUGAUCCUUUAUUUCGUCCUUCAACCAAUUCUUUAACCAACCCUUUAUUAUGUUGUAUAAAGUACUAGCACCUUUAUGCAGUCUGCUUGGUGUGGAAGUUUCUAGUCUUAUUCAGAAAAAUCACAUUUAUCACAACUUUAUUAUAUGGGAGGUCCUAAAUGCUGCUGUGGUUGGGCUUCAAUAGUUCUAGUUCAGUUUGUCGUCAUCACUUGGGAACCUCUUUACCUGCUACCUGCUUAGUUCAUUAACAUAGGAGAGAUGGGCCACGACGGUGUUGUGAUGUGCUAAGCAAAUGCCAUUUGCCGGACUUGAUUGGCUAUCACAUUGAUCGAGCUCAAUCUUUAGUGCAGGUUGUCUCAUCGACAGAUGCUACUGAUUUCAAUGAUGUAUCACAUAGCUCCUUUGAUUUCCAUGGCAUCAGUGCAUGGCUUCAUGUUUUGUUGUUGCUGCUUACAUUGCAAGCUAGCAUUGCGCUGCUGCACUACAUGCAUGCAUGUGUGAUCUAUGUCCUCUUAUGUUUAAAGUUUCUUGUUUUGUUUAUAUAUAAUCAUGACCAACUAAAUUCUGUUUUGGUUUAAAUUUCCAUGACAAGGGAUGGAGCUCUGUGGUGCUAAAUAGAUGUUUAAAGGAAAGUCAUGAUGAGCAAAGCCAUUGUUGUCAUGAAUCAAAAAAUCCUACCAUGUCCAUGGCAAAAAGUUGUUUCUGCAUACAUAUUUUAAGGGUUGUGUUUUAUUGAAUCUGUUUGAUUUUAUUGAUUUUUAAUAUUUCUAUUUUAUUUGAGAUUUGAUGAUGAACACAUCCAUUGUAGCCG